rnacentral:misc_RNA from 1 species
GAUGAAGAACAUAGCGAAAUGCGAUAAGUAAUGUGAAUUGCAGAAUUCAGUGAAUCAUCGAAUCUUUGAACGCACAUUGCGCCCCCUGGUAUUCCGGGGGGCAUGCCUGUCCGAGCGUCAUUUGCAACCCUCAAGCCCGGCUUGUGUGAUGGGUGCCGUCCCCUACGGGACGCGCCCCGAAGGCAAUGGCGGCGUCGCGGUUAUCCGAUCAGCCAAAGUGUAUGGGGCUUUGUCACUCACUUUACGGCCCGGACCGGCGCCAGUCCGAAUCAAUCUUUUUUCUAAAGUUGACCUCGGAUCAGGUAGGGAUACCCGCUGAACUUAAGCAUAUCAAUAAGCGGAGGA